UAUCAUUGAAUUCACAAAUACAAAUCAGGA
rnacentral:piRNA from 1 species